GUGAACGCUGGCGGUAGGCCUAACCCAUGCAAGUCGAACGGCAGCACAGUAAGAGCUUGCUCUUACGGGUGGCGAGUGGCGGACGGGUGAGGAGUACAUCGGAAUCUACUUUUUCGUGGGGGAUAACGUAGGGAAACUUACGCUAAUACCGCAUACGACCUACGGGUGAAAGCAGGGGAUCUUCGGACCUUGCGCGAUUGAAUGAGCCGAUGUCGGAUUAGCUAGUUGGCGGGGUAAAGGCCCACCAAGGCGACGAUCCGUAGCUGGUCUGAGAGGAUGAUCAGCCACACUGGAACUGAGACACGGUCCAGACUCCUACGGGAGGCAGCAGUGGGGAAUAUUGGACAAUGGGCGCAAGCCUGAUCCAGCCAUACCGCGUGGGUGAAGAAGGCCUUCGGGUUGUAAAGCCCUUUUGUUGGGAAAGAAAAGCAGCAGGUUAAGACCCCGCUGUUCUGACGGUACCCAAAGAAUAAGCACCGGCUAACUUCGU
rnacentral:rRNA from 1 species